UCCGAAAGACGCACGAAAUACUUUAAACCUUUUUGGUCCGCCGUGAGUGUAGUUUUUUCGUCCAGAUUGUGAGACUUUUAAUGAAUUGAGGUUGCAUUUUUAAGCGAAUCUAUUGAACAGCGGAAAAUAACUAGAUUUUGAUCCAAAUAGAAGAUCCCCAGCCUGAUAGUCAUGGAUGAGGAGAAUAUUGACGUGGAUGGGGUAGUGGAGACCUUUGACGGCAUAACGACAAUCAAGUUAUUUAUAAAAAAAAAUGAGUUAACUAAGGUUCUAAAAAUGCCCAAGCCUCGUUCCGAGGUAUCCGAUAAUUCCGAUAAUUUCGAGACAGCCAAGGAGUCAUCUCGUUCGGAGGUGUCUGAUAAUUCCGAUCAUUUGGAGACAGCCAAGGAGUCGCUACAUGACGCUGUCGAUUUGCAGGAACCCUUUAAUAAGUAAACUAAAAUAUUCAAAGCAAAAUGAUGGCGGAUGACGAGCUGGAGUUAGAGUUAAAUAUGUUCCUAAUUGAGUAGACUACUUUUUGGUCAGUCUGUUUUAAAUUGUAUUGUUUAGCAACCUGAUAUUGUAUCGAAAUGCAUGAAGGUAAUCCUUGAUUACAGCCAAAAUGUUAUAUGUAGAAAGUUA